rnacentral:lncRNA from 1 species
UUUUUUUUUUUUUUUUUUUUGGUAGAAGAGUUGUGUACUUUAACAAUAAUGUCUAACCAGAAAAAGUGGACAGGCUUACACUGUAUAAACAACCUUGAAUGUGAUUAACUAGUGGUGAUAGUGAUCAAAAUAGUGAUGUAGAACUCUAGUUUGACCGCCUAGAUUCCUUUGGAGUAGUACAAAUGCAGAGAACUUACUUUCAAAAUUAAGGUUAACUUUGCAGACAAAAGGAUGUCUAUUCGGAUUAAAAAAGAUUGAUGAUUGAAACAUGUAUAGGAAACUUUGCAGGAAAGUGAGUUAAAGCAAGUGGAACUCCGUGUGGCAACAAAGGAAAGUGUCACAAGUACUACCAUAUAUUGCAUUUGAUAUUUCGUGAAUUAGAUAGAUUAAAGUGCUUGCUCCAUUCUUGAUUGAAUAUCUGUCUUGGACUUGUAGUGAAAGAGACCUGCAAUUGUGGAGCCAAGGCUUAAAGAAUUCUAGGAUUAAACUGGAGAAUUAUAGCUAGAACUGCGUGACUUUCAAAUUUAAGAAAAAUUGAAGUGGGAUUAAUAAAUGGUCGAUCGAAACAAGUCAACUAGGAAGACUCAAAAUUAAGGGACAGAGAGCAAUUAUAAGUACCAAUGGAGACGCUUAUGUGAUUGUACUGAGAAAUUGCAGUCUAUACUGCCUGAUACUAUCUAUCUUGGGACUGCAAGCAACAAUGAAUGAAGCCUUCCUAUAGCAGUCAAAAUCUCAAAAAAGAUGGAAAGAAAGAAAGAAGAUGAAGAUGGAAUGAGUUUUAGAUUACUGGACGGGACAUGAAAAGAAAUAAAAAUAAAAAAAGGGUCUUUCGACAUGAUAAAAAUGUCCCUAAAUCUUUUUCAUGACACAGUUCCACUGUCCGACAUUUCCAAAGUUCUCUUUUGAGUAUUAUUAAAGCGUGACUUGUUGAGUACUAUCUCCUUUGCAAUGAAAGUCAAUGGCAAUCUUCCAACAGUACGUAAAAUGAUGCGAACAGUUUACACACUGGGAUUUAGAAAGCUAGUGGCCGUCCUGUCCAAAAUGUACUCGAGUGUCCCACCAAAAAAGAAGAAGAACAAGAACAAGAAGAAAAUAUGAAGUUGAAAAAAACAAGUUUAAUUCUAUGAAGUUGAAAUAAGCAUAGUUAUUAAACCAGGGCCAUGGGUUGGAUGGAUUAGCAAUUCAAAUGCAACAUUACGAUUCAACCAACCGGUGGUUAUAUAACAUCAUAAAAUAAUAUAUUUAAAUUACUAAAAACAAUAUAUAUGUUGAAUUGGUGGUUGAAUCAAUUGUUGAACCAAAGGUUUUUCUAUAUUUUGCCUAUUGAGCUGGCGAGUAGUUAAUUGGCUAAUAGGUUUUUUUUUUUUUCCUUAUUUGAUUCAAUUACUAACCUAGUCUGUUCAAGUAAUUAGUUCAUCGAGUUAACCAAUUAAACUGCCGAAUCGGGCUGAGUUAAGAAUACCACAUAGCAUUCAUAUUGUUGCUAUUGAAAUUUGUUCCAAGAAUAAUUACACAAAUUGUCAAGGCAAAAUUAGCCCUUUCAAAUCAACCUAUGACCAUAUUCGAUUUGACAUAAAAUGUAUAAUUUUAGUAUUUUUCAAAAACUAUCAUGACAUUGAAAUUUGAGUUUUUACAAUAAUAUCAAUCAAUUGUUAAGGACGAACAUAUAUCUCUUAUGAUACUAAAACAAUCCAAAGAAAUAGAUGGUAGAAAACAAGAUACAUGUGACUUGUUAGCAUGAGAAAGUAAGUUAGCAUACUUGAAUUUGCUCAUUCCAAAACCGCCCCAUGAUCCACUCAUGCACACAUGCACAUCACAUACGAUCAGUCAAAAACAUAAGCACAAAAGAAGAAAAGUUGUUGUUGACUUCUUUUGGCUUAUCCGAGUAGCAUCGUUUUUUCAGAUCUGCUAGCGUAUUUAACCGUGUACGGCUUCCAGGUUCUGAGCCCAUGUGUGGCUGUAGGAAGAAAGCUAAUAUUGCACAUGGAAAUGGAAACACCUGGGGACAGAAAGCGACUUGCCAUUGGUCAUUUGGUCCAGCGGUCGUCACCAUCUUUGGUGAUGCUGGAGGUCAGGGGUUCAAUCCCUGCCUCUCACAAAUUUGUCACUUUACGUGGUUGGUCUUCAGUCCCCACGGAAUAGCUCGAGCGGUCCGCUCCCCCUCCUUAGGGUAUGGCGACCUUCCUGACUUGUCCAGGGUUCGAGUCCCGUUGUUAAUGUGCUCGGUGUCAGGGGAUUGUCGAGCCCCGUAAGGAUUGAUUUCAUACUCCUGUGUUGACAAAAAAAAAAAAAAAAAAGAACAGAAAAGCUACCGGACUGUCUCGAGCGGUCCGCUCCCCCUCUGUAAUAAUAUCACUCAGCGCCCCUGCUCUGGACCCCCUGUGUUGACAAAAAAAAAAAAAAAAAAAGGGACAGAAAGCGACCGGACUGUCUAACUGUGCCAAAAUUUUUAAGAUUAUAAUUUAGAGUUAAUUUCAGAAACCUCACCUGAGGUUUGUAAUCGGUUUGUUUGGAUAGGGUAUUAUUUGAAAUAUUAUUUAAAAUAAUUAUUAUAGUACUUUUUUUUUGUGAUGUGAUGUAUGUGAGAUAAAAAGGUGAUUGAGAAUAUAAAAAGGUGGGUUAGAAAAUGUGUUUAUGAUACAAACAAAAUAUUAUUUGGGAUAAUAAAGCUAUCCUGAAAUGGAAAUGACAUGCUGUGUAUCAUUGUAAGUUUUUAUAUGUAGAAGUAUUAUUGUUAAAAAAUAUAUUGGAAUGGAAGAGAUUUUUCCUCAUCUAUCCUUACAUGAUCUAACUCAUGAUUUUUAUAAUAAGAAUCGAAAACUGUACAAGGAUGAAAUACUAUUAAACUAAGAAUUUGAGGAAGUAUAGGUACAACAAAAUAAUACAUUUGGUUUAACAAACUAGCCGUACAACCAUAUAUUAUUUUAACGAUAACUUCUGUAGCUCCUUCAACGGUAUAAAAAAGCUUGAAAAUAAAAAUAGGGCAAAAAUUAAGCAGCAAAGGGGCAAAGUAUAUGAGCAAACGGAAGAAGACUGAUAACACAAUACGAAAAGUUUAAGCAUAGGAGAAUCUUAUAAUUAAUUCACCAACAUCAUCCAAUUGAAACAUUGAUGUUUCGAACGUAAUUACAACGUGACAUUUGUAAUUUUUUAAACUGACAAGAAUCCAAAUCGGCGGCAUUGCAAAAUGCAAUUUCUUUCAUUGGUAUGGUGUAAAAAUGAUGCCCUGAGUAACCACAGCAAGAAGGUAGUCACGCUAUGCAAAAGGGACAUGUAUCGAAGUUACAAAUUCGACAAGCAUCAUACUUUGUAACAGGACACGAAUGUAUUUCUUUUCCCAACUUUUUCCUUCUUGAAAAGUAUUUAGACUUUGAGAGUCUCGGAUUGGGACAUCCAGUCACAUUAUAGUACCGUUAGCAAGAGAUUCAUGAGAUUUUUGAAAUUUAAGAGGAGCUAAGUGAUAUUAUUGUGAAAAAUCUCAGAGAUACUUUUUUAAAAUUAAUCCUACAAUUUAUACCUGUGCUACGUGUUGUCUUUCUUUUUUCAACAGCCUGAAUCAGACUUUUGUUGUUUUAUAAACCUAAUCCCAGAAUUAACCUCAAAAGCCGGCUGCUACGUGUUGUCUUUCGCUGUCCCCCUUUUAUUUCUUACCUCUGAUCCCUUGAUUAACCUAUCAUUCGCCAAGAAAAACUUGAUUUUGACAACGGACCCCAUAAAGCUAGUCCUUAUCCUUGACCAAGAAACUCGACGAUCUUUUUCCCGGGUUAUUUUCAUGACCCACAGGUAAGUAAAAAAAAAAAAAAAAAAUAAUAAUAAUAAUAAUAAAAGGGAGGACGGUAUCAUCAUGUAUGGCUAAAUCACACUAGUAGACUAACUGAAUCUUUUCUUAAAGAACUUUCAUUUUUUUUAGCCUUUGCACGUCUUUUUCCUUGCCUGCAGAUAUCAUGGGCUAAUUUAGGAGUGGAAGAUCUUUAACUUGGAUGUAAAAGGGCUACUUUGGAAUCCACUCCAUUUUUCAUUCUCAUACACAAAUUUUAUUUUUGAACGGUGAAUCAGUCUACUCGAUAUUAAUUAUUCUGGCUUCUUGACCAGAUAGAUCAUUUACAUUUUUAACCUGACUUAAGUUACGUAUUAAUUACAUAACAAUCUAGCCAAGUUUAAUUAUUACAUCCAUUAGGUUGAAUAGCACGGAAUUCUAUGCCAAGUUGAGAAAAACUAAUCGAGUUCUUGAGUGGAAUUCCAUUUUAAGGAUAAAUAUUCCCAUGCCAUGUCCUAGGUUUUUAACUGAGCCUGGGAGCUUUUUUACUGCUACUUUGUUCCCUUUCAACAUCACACAACAUGCACGUGACCCCGCAACACACAACAGAACCUAAUUCCAAUGAACAACGUUAAAAACAACAUAGUACUUACCUCUUUAGUUAAUCUUAUCAGAAUAAUGCAGCACUACUUUUGAUUACAUUACUCUUAACCUUUGAGAUUAGCAACAUUUUGGUGUUGUGGCCGCUUCUAAAUUACGCUGCCCGAGGUCCCUGAGACGCCGCUUUUGGCUCUUUGUCCCCGACCUUGGUGCCCCUCGAAGCCUCGAAGGCUAGCCACACCACUCCUGCUGCCUAUUAGCUCUUGGUCCCCCACGCCACCCCACCGCCACUACCACCACCACCAUUUCCCACUCAAAACUUUAGCCUUUAUGUCACUGACUCAAGAUUACAUAUACGAUUUUGGAGUGACAAAGAUAAGUUAGUAUAAUCGCGGGCUCUAAUUGAAUAGUCAUUAUGAGUUAUUAGGUACAAAUAUAUAUUCUCCCACCAAGAUUAAAAGGGCUAGUGGUAGGGGCAAGAGAGAUUUAGUUAAAAUAUUCAGAUGCUUUAGUGCUUUUAUCUUGAUUAAUUAACUGUGACAUGUGUGGCAUAUUGGAGGAUAAGUUGGUCCUACUCCCAACUUUAAUUUGGAGUGGUAUAUGCCUAGGAGUUGCUGUUUUCUUGGCAUUAGAUUCUCCAAUUUGUGGGGAAAUUGUCCCAAUGGCGCAGUGUGGAGGAUUUAAAAUCAGAUUGCGCCAUGGGGAUCAGAUCACAGUCUCUGCAUAUUUUCUUGAAGUUGGUUUGUGAAUUGACCAGGAAAUAGACAUCAUCAUUUGUGGUGGAGGAUGAUGAUGAUGCCAGGCUUCUUUCACGAGGGACUCCCACUUAAGACAAGAUGACCAUGAGCCAGUGACGAUCCAAGCAUUGAAGCUUGAUUUCGAGCUGGAAUGACAUUGUAUGGACUUGUAUAAAGAAUCUAAUCUAACUACAAGUAAGUAACUUGACUUUGGUAAUUUAAACACUAGACUAGAAGAAUCCUGGACUGCAUUCGAAACUUGCACUUACAAUUAAAAAAAAAAAAAAAAAAAAAAAAAAGGGUUCAUAGGAGUGUACUAGCUAGUUAGUCGUGUAUUUCUUGAAUUUAAUUUAGAGUGUUCUCGCAUUCUAAUUCCUUAUACUAUUCCAUUGGAUUAUCCAUUUCUCUUGAAUAUAUAGGAGGAUAAAGCAGGAAUAGUAUAGAUAUUUAAGUUCCCAUGUAUAAUUGCGUCUCUGAAAAAAAAAAAAAAAAAAAAACUCUUUUCACUGCUUAUCUAUGGCUGAUUCGCAAAAUAUCGCGGAUGAGAGAAAAGUACAUGAUAAUAUUUGUGAGACGGAGUUCUUAACAAAUCUUUUACUUCACUUUGCAAGGGUUGACAAUAAUUAUUUAUAGAGCAUCCACUUAAUGCCAUUCUUUCUUUCAUGAUAUUUCCAAAUGUAACAUGUAAAAGUAUAAUAGAGUUUUUUUUUUUUAUAUGAACAAAUUGUCUAUAUUUCAUGUUUCUGGGAUUAAAAAUUGAGUCCAAGGACAGAAGAAAGUAUUAUCUUUCAAUUAACAUACCUAAAUAAGUCCCGAUAAGUCACAUGCAAAAUCAGGGUCUCGAAGAUGCGUAAAACGAGUUCUCAUGUAAGUUAUAGGAUGUAAUUGGAUCUCACUCUCCCUGAACAAAUUUCCUUGACCUUCUUCUUAGUUCUUCCUGCCAAAAAUUUACAAGGGGCUUGAUUGGAUCCAACAGUGUCUUAUUGAAAAUCAACCGCAGGCUGUAGCCCAAACCCAAAAUGCUCUGACAGUUUUAAGCAAUCAUUAACCUCAUUCACACUUUUGGUGGGGAUCGAUGAUAGGACUCCAUCCGUAUGGCUGAACUGUAAACAGUAUACAGCAGAUUUUCUGAUCUUACAAGUCCAACAGGCCAAGGCAGCCCAAAAGUUUAAUGAAGUAGGCCAUUGAAGUGCACACCAAUUGCUCAGCCUAGAAUCUUGUCAACAUUACAUAAUCAUAUAAAAAUUUUUCAAAUGUACCUUGUUUUUGAUAACUCAAUUCAAAUACUCCUUCCGUUCCGAAAUAAUUGUUGCACUUCGGGGUCUUGUGCUUAUUUUCAACAGUGCCAAGAUUUCAAAUGAUUUUGGUGCAACUUCCAGCAAUACCCUUGUUCAGUUUCUAUGGAGUAUAACUGACUGACUAGCGGAAAGACAAUGGAAUGAUGACAAGAUCUGUGGGACCCGUGCCUCAAGAAUGUCUCCAACCGUUUUUUAAAAAAGUACCUUGCACGACCUUUGUUUGCAUUUGCUGUGGAACUCACGCGUAUCAAGUGCAAUUCUUGUAAUUUUUUGGGGCCCAUCAAAAGCUUAAAAGAAUCUAGUUUAUUUAAGGGCAUGAGAUGGAAAUGGAGGAAAGUUUUCAUUACCAACUGAGGUAAGUGAUAUUCAUUUUAUGACAGAUCAAAAAGGAAAAUAUGACAUUUUUUAAUGGACCGAGGAAGUAAAUGAUAGUUGUCCGUGACCAAGGUCAGAUUCUUGACAUCGAUAUUGUAAAAAAAAAAUGGGGUAGCAAGAAGAUGCAUAACGUGUCCGGACUAGACUUCCUAUUGGAUAUUCAAAAGCCAAGGGUUUUAGAUGGAAAUCUCAACGUCUUGGUGGAAUCAUGUUAUUACGCCUUGCAAGCACAUAUGUACUUUUCAGUUUGAAAGUUCCACUACUUGGUCCAUGUGCAUUAUUCACAGCAAAUGGAAAACCUCUCUGAAAAAAGCAUGUGUAACUUAACCAUUGCUAGUUUCUGCAUCUCCUUUCAAGUAAAAUCCAUUUGGAUGGUGAAUUCUUCCAUUGACUAAGAAUUUUAUUCUAAAUUACUAGAUGUUUAAAUAAACUAAUGAAAUGGGCAUACGCCUAAGGAGGGCAUCCUUACUAUAAAUUAACUACACAAAAGUUAUGAAGAAAAUGUAUUCAUCGCUCCACUAAACCAAAUAUGUUUAGUAUUCCACUGUUUAUUAGUGAGAGCGUAGAAGUUUCAGGAUAAAUAAAUCCCAAGUUUUGGGAGGAAGGUUGAGUUGGGUGAUAAGAUGGAAGGGAUUGCAAGGAAAAGAUUCUGAAUUCAAAACUUUUCGCUUAUUCAAAAAAAAUUAAAGGGAAAAAUCCCAAGCUUUAUGCUUUUUAGGUAAUUUGUUUUUACCAGUCAAAUCUUGCUUAUACAAGCAAUGCUAAGUUGUAGUAAUUAAACUUGUAUAAAGUACUGGAUGCAACGCCAGUGAAUAUCUGUCCUGCACCUUUAGAUUUCAUAGCUACCUUGAAAGACAGUGGACAACAACAACUAAGGUGGCUGAGCACGAAAUACAUUGGAGUUAGCUGGCUAUAAGCAAAACCAAUAUAUUUUUCUCAAAUGGAGAGGCACAUAGAAUUGUUUUGGACCAUCAGCCAAUCGUUAUGUGACUAACUCACACAGGUUACAAAAUACAAGUGCUAUUCUCAGAUACGGCGGCUGGCUCACUUUUCCUUAGUCAAAUGCCAAUUGUUCGCUCACCGAUUCUUGAUUUUCGUUUUUCAGACACAACUCAGCACAGUGUAUCCUCACUUUGCACCUAUUAUCUUAUAAAAUAGAUGCGUCCGUUUUCGGCAGGAUAAUACAAAUUGAAUGGGGAGCAAAAUUUAAAGCUGGAGACGUUAAUUCUUAAAAUAUUACUGUAAUUAGUAUCUUUAAACUCAUAUUUGUAAGCAAAUCUUUCAGCUCGUGGAUUUAAAUGGACCUGUAAACUUAUAAUUAAAUCUAGCUGUUGCUGUCAAAAUAUUCUGAGAUAGCAUGUAUGGAGCGAAAGAGAACCAAUUAGUCGUAAUAGCUAAUUUGCAUGUUGCUAUAGGAAACUAAAAUUAAUCCGACCCUUUAUCCUACUGAAAGCGAGACUUCAAUAUUUACACAGAUUUUCAAUUGGAAAGAUGGUAAUCAAGGUAGAACAACUUAAUUUUCAAAAAACCUUACGAUGAUAUUACCUGUAAACUGGUUGUAAUAAUCCAUGCAAGAAAUCGCAGUUAUUGAUUAAUUAGUGGUACAAAAAAAAAAAUUUUCAGUAGGGGAAAGAUGAGAUUUAAGAAGCGGGAGGGGAUAGAAGAUUAGAACCCCAAACCUGUAAUUCCUAAGUCUCAACCUUAGUCACUAGAUAGAGGUAUUAAACAUAAUAAUCAAUGAAUAAAAAGAAAACCACCUUUCCAUUAGUUAGCUUAAUCUGUCUGCUACAUCUCAUAAGUUCUGGAAAACUACAGGAGUUAAGAGCGUUUAAAGCUAAUAAUUGGCUCGAACUGAGGCAACUGAAGAUGUCUCCAGACAAGAACCAGGGACUUCGUAUAAUUGGAUCUAUAGCACCCCUUAAACCUCACACAUUCAUAGUGAAUGGUUGCCCAGCAUUCUUUUUUCAUUGGACAAAAAGUUCUUACAGACUAGUAUAAGCUCUCAAUAAACAUGUAACAGCAAAACAGCAACUAAACAGCUAUGCGGGCAAGGAGUAAUUAAGAAAGCAAGUUUCUCAAUAUUAAUUUACCUAAAAGAACUUAUGUAGAUGACUUUCGAGCCUCAACUUUUCCUUGUACAAAUAUGCUCCACAUUGAGUUACAAGAAAAAGUUAAUAUUGCAACUCCUUUGAAUCAGUAACGUUGCAAAGCAGCCAAGAGUUUUUUUAUCUAAUGAAACGGUGGGUAAAGGGAAAUUCUAGAGAAACUUUUUCACGGUCAUUUCUAAUUGGAACCCCAAUAGAAGUGGCUGAGCCAGUAACGUACCAUUACGGGGAUGGGGGAGGGGACUUGUGAAUAAGAGCAAAAGUCACAAUAAAAUUUUCUUGAAGGCAAAAGUUAAGAAAAUAGGGGUAGCAUAUGGUAUUAGACCAAAAAUUUUAGGCAGCAAGAAAAGGACCUCUUACAAAAUUUUCCAAAGCUGAGCAAGGAUUGAAAGAAAAUUUUGAAACUUAAGGGGGGGGCCAUUGCUCCAGAUUGCCCCUGGCUGCCUCCGCCACUACAGUGUUGUAACUAGACAUUGAAUAUCAAUCAAAAGGAAAAGACUAGAUUAAUUUAAGUCUGCUACUUUGUUUUGAGUGAAGAGAUGUUUCAAAUCUUAUGAUGUAAAAGAGGAAAAGGAAAGAGGAGAAUUUAGGAGUUGAAUUAAAGAUCUCACAAUUUUGUAAUUAGUGUACCUAUAAGCCAAGGUAGUUCUUGGAUUUAAGUCUAAAAUGACCCUAAAUAGAUACCCCAAAAAACAAAAAAGCAAAUAUAGGGGAAAAGUUAUUGAUGGACUCGUGCACUAUUUAUGUCCAACUAUCAGAAGAAAUUAUUGGAAUAAUCAAAGGAAAAGGUACUGUUCGACACAAAAUGUCUGAUCCAAGCGGUGGGUUUGUAACAGUGCUAAAACUUAAUUGGACGUCAUCAACACUAAGUUCGUGAACAAUAUGUGGAAAUAUCAGACGAGUUAAGGCCAACCCAAAAAGAAAAAUCGGGAUUUGACAAUGAAAAUAAUAUAAUCAGACACAGUUACAUGAAUACUAGGUUCGAAAACAAAGAGUUCAAAUAGUUAGGAAAAGAAAAAUGAGAUGAAACUGUCAUAACCAUCAUCAAACAGUACCCGAAGUUUGCUACACACAGUGUGAAGUUGAAAAAAUAAUUCCUAUAUGCCAAACUUUUGACAAAAACAAACGGUGCUUCUGUACUAUGGGCCUAAGGUCAAUACCAUACAAAAUCACUAAGCACUUUGUUUACCGUCAAGAGAACUGGAGAUUGAUAAGCUGCAAAUUAAAUAAUGAAAAGGGUAAAAUGAAGAGAGCUUUUCCUUAUUUCAUUAGCUAAUCAUAUGAGAAUAUCAACGAGUCCUUGAUUGAUUAAAAGAACCUACUCCAGGACACAUUAAUCUCAGAGUAAUUUAGACUCAAACAAAUUGGUCGAAGUGUGGAACCAGAUUAUAUACGGAUUCAUUGCCAAUUCACCGGGAGAAAAUAAUAGAGGUCGAUGAAGCGAAAUAGCGACCCCAAAAGAGAGAGAGAGAGAGAGGAAAACGAAAGAAGGGAGGGAUAUUAACUACAGCAAAUGUGAGAUUGUUAUUCACUUACAUCGAGAACUCUCAGAUUCAGAUAAGAGCUCAUCUAACAGAUCAGGUCCCAAGUCUUCAAACACCACCAGAUCAUCUCCCUUGACCAGCUGUUUCCUUUUGCCUCUACGUUUGGACAUACUUCUCAUCUUGUGUACCUCUUUCAGGGCAGCAGCUGGUGAUAAACCAUCUUCACAACUAAAAAGAACCAUUUCUUGAAGGGAUUCAUGGACCCUUUCAGCCGGAAAAUUAAGGGCAGCCACUGGACCUCGCAUCGAAAGUGCAGCUUGGUCAUAAGCCAAGGCAGCUUCUUCUGCAGUAUCAAAUGUUCCAAGCCAAACCCUGAUUCCAUUUCUUGUGGAAUCCCUUAUCUCAGCAGCAAACUUGCCCCAUGGCCGCUUUCGAACGCCUACGUAAUGCUUCUCCUUCCCAUAGUGAUCUUCUUUAGCCCUGGUACGGGCUAGGGUGAAUUCUUCACCGUUGAUUUCCUUAGACGAUGAACUUGCACCGGCAAAGGAUUUAGUAACAUGGUCCAUUUCUCCAGUAAAAAUCUAUGCUCAAGUCCUUUCAGUUGGAGAUUAGGAAUCAUGUGUCUGGAGAAUAUUUCAAGGAUUUCCAGAGAAAUUAAAGUUUUUAAGUAGUAGGGGUAAUCAAAAGGGGUAGCAUCAGUCGUUAGAUCUUGUUAGGGUAAUGGCUGUCAUGAUUCUCUAAAACUAACUUUGCCAUAGAUUCACUUUUCUCCUCAUGCCCAACUUGGGCUUGUUUAGAGAAAAUAAUGCACAAUUAGUACUACCAAGCAUUAAUUUUUGGUAUUGUUGUGAUGUCACUGCUGGACCAAGCUACUAAACUAUAAGAAAGGACAAUGUCUUCAGCCCCCCCCCCCACCCCCCCCCCCCCCAAGUUUUCUGACUUUUAUACAGGCAUUUCUUUAGUCCUCCCUCUAAAAUCUUCCAAUUAUUAUUGUUCUUGCCAUCCAUUUUCCUUUGCAUGAUUGAUUUGGUUGAGAUUUGAAAAAGGAUAAUGAUAAUCCCAAAAAAAUGCUCCUUUUCUGUGCCACUAAACGAAAGAUGUGUAGACUUCAUAGAACUAGAUUCCUUCUUCUUCUUCUUCUUUUUAAAUAUUUGAGUUAUUUUUCCCCAUCACUGGAAUUUGAGAACAAAAACCAGAUGCCUUAGCUUAUUUGUAUCAUUUUUCACGGAGAGAUGAUUAUAAAAGAGCAUACCGCCUCGACGGGAUUGUCCUAACUACUUGAGGCUUUUUCGUCCUUAAUAACGAUUACAGUAUUCUCAUGGUGGCACCAUUUUUUGUUGUGGUCAAUGGCCUUAAUAAAUUCCUUAAUUUUGCUGAUGUUUAGUAUUGAUAAUAAUUUUUUUUUUGUUUGAGCAUAGAAACAGUUCCAUUAAUAGCGUCAUUUGCAAUAAAAAUUCCGGCUAAAAUAGGAGAUUAUCUGUGAAUUUGAAUCCUGUAGCAAUUGCGACAAAGAUGCGUGUGUUAGCCUACUCAUGAUUAGACUAGCAAAUGUCACUUUCAACAACAUAAUUUUUACAUUCUUUGUUCAUAAAAUGCACGGAUUUAGUAUCAGUCUUUUGUCAAGAAACUUGUUGAUUUGUUGUUUAUGUGAGAAGCAACUAUUCAACAUACUAGUGGAGGGCAUCCCUUCAAUAGUUUGAAGAAUUGACCAAUUAUAAUUCUUAAAAGUAUAGAUGUAAUCAUUUUGUAUAACAGCCACAUCUCCAUUCUGCAUAAAAGUAUCAAUUACUUUCAUCCAACAAGAUGCCAAUGCUACUACAAAUACUACUACUGAAAAGUGGACCAGUAGUCAUUAACUGGUCCUAAAGCUAGUUUAAUAUCAAAGUAUUCUUUUUUUUUUUUUUUUUGUGAAGGGAUAACACAUCAAAGUAUACAACCAAAAUGUUUGGAAGGUUGGUUUUUUUGAUCUGGUUUCACACUGCCAAGAGCUGAAGUGAACUCCUUCUUGAAGGCAAACCAGUAUACUGACUAUUUCUUUUCUUCUUCAUGACAAAUUAUGGUACAGUACUUCUUUAGUAGCAUCCUUGUAUCAAGUGAAAUCUAUAGCACUCAAUUCAGCCUAAUACAGAACUUCAUCACCACAGUUGGCAAUGUAGUGAGGUAUUAUUCUAUUAGCUUUGGUCCUAGGAAAUUGACAAAUAAGACAAAUGAGAAUAAUAGGGUUCGUGAUAAUUCAAUAAUGACAAUAACUAGAAAAUACUAUAACAGAAAACAAAAUAGAGUACAAAAGAGAGAAUACAAAACCUAGGAAAUAAUUUCUAAGUCCAAAAGACACCUAAAAAUGAAAAUACAAAAAAAAUCUAAAUAGCACAAAAUGUUUAACGGUUCAAAGGCCCAUAACUUGCUCUUUUGAUUUGAUGCCUAGCUAAAACAUCUCUUAGACUAGAGCUAAAACAUCUCUUAGACUAGAGCAUAAGCCCCUUAAAAUUCUCUUGAACUACUACCCUUAGCAUAAUUAAACUCAUUUAAACUCACUAUAUUUAUAACUACCAAGAGGAAAUAUUUCUUUAUAAACUUUCGAUGUGGGAUACAAAGACAAACUCAAUAUAUUCUAAUAAGACUAAACAUCUAAGUAUAUCUGGAUCGGUAAUUGAAUCUUUUUUGUUUUCCCUGUUUCAGGGAAGAUAGUUCAACAAGUCUAAAUGCUGUUAUUAAUUGAAUGAAACCUAUUUUUUUUUUUAAAUACUUUAUAUGUGGAGGAGUGGAAAGGAAAACCCACUGGAAUCGAAAAAGUGUGAAAAUAUUUAGUUCUCGUUUUAUAAUGAGAAAUUAAGACUACAUGUGAAUUAUUUGGGGCAACCUUAAGACAAAGAUUUAGCAAUGGAGCCUGGACUGUAGUUUAGAUGCUUUUUAUAGCAUUUUCUGUAAUUUUUUUUCUUGUUUACUGUUGGACAGCUGAUUGGGCAUUGUGUUCCUUUGAACAUGAGUACUACACUCGUAAAAAUUGUCCUGCAUAGUGCAUAUCAAUAAAAUUAUGAUAUUUUUCCUUGAAAAGCCUUUGAUUCUUCCACUCAACGAAGAACUAAUUUGAUUAAGAUCCAAUAGACAACACUGAUAUGGAUUUUUCGCCUGGUCUUGACACUGAGGCACAAGUCCUUAAUUAAGUAGUGAAUUCUACAAUUGAAUUUUUAGAACACAAAAACUUGUAAUUGCAAGGCAAUGCCCCUUAAUGUCCUUUUUUUUAAUUUAAUAGAGAAAAUUGUACCAAUCAUCCUUCACAUAUUACUGAUAUGAAAUUUUAGUCUUUCAAAAUUCAAAUAAGCGAUCUUAAUUAUGCACAAAUAAAAAACACUCACUUUUAAUCCCUUGCCACCUUUUCGGCCAAAUUUUUGCCAAAAUAUGUCACGAAUCAAUCACAUGAUCAAUUUUUGAAAGUUAAAUUUGGUAACUCAUUUAACAUUGAACCAAUUUCUCACUUAAUCUUCCAUUUCUCCUAAUUAUUCUCUACCUAAACCCAAAUCGACAUCACUCAUUUUUUCUCUUACACCACCAUCCUUCCACACCAUUUCCAGUUUCAUCACUGUUGCCACUGCCAUUUGUCCCCUUCUCACUCCUUUCUCGCCACCUCUGCCCUUUCUCCCUCAUUCCUCCUUUUCUUUCCCCAUCUUAUGGGUCUUGUAAAUAGAUCUAUUUCUUUCGCCCUCUAAUUUUUAAAAGCCAUGGAAAUGGUUUUGUUAAGUUUCAAACAUUUGCUGUUACUUUGUUGAUUCUUGUGGUCAUAUGGGUGAUUUUGGGGGUUUUACUGGUAUUGUAUAUUUCUUGUUGGUCAUUUUUGUCAAAUCGAGUAGAGAGUAAAAACUUGAGAGAAUUUUGUGAGUACGAGAUGGCGAUAUACAGUGGUUCUAUUGUAGAUGUUGCCGGAAUCUAGCAUGGUAGCUCUUGUGAGCUUUGCAAGAAAAUAGAAGGAAGAAGAUGAUAAAAAAAAAAAGCAAAAAGAAAAGAAACGAAAGAAAGUAAAGAAUGAAGUUUUACUGGGAUUGUGUCAUUUUAGUUAGUUUGGCACUUGGAGAAUAAUUGGGAGAAAUAGUGGAUGAGGUAAGAAAUAGAUCAACAUUAAAUGAGUUGCUAAAUUUGCCCCUAAAAAAUUAUUCAUGUAAUGGGUUGGUGAUAUAUUCUGACCAAAUUUUAACCAAAAAGGUGACAAAUGAAAAAAAAAAGAGCACUUUUUAUCUGUUAGAAAUUAAAAUCUUUCAUUUUAAUUCUAAGGGACUAAAACUUUACAUCAGUAGUAAUAUGUGAAAGACAAUUAGUGUAAGUUUUCUAUUAUACAAACCCCAAUAUUUACAGUCCAAAGCUACGCAUGGAAAACAUCAUAAUACUGUAGCAUACAUUUUUUACCUAAAAGAAGGCGACUUUGUCUUUCUCUGCUAUUAAGGGCAUGCAAAAUUUGGGAACCCCCCCCCCCCCUCCACACCUGCUGCGUUUAUUUCCAAUCACAGAAAUGAAUAAUUUGUCAGAAACACUGAAAGAGUGUCCCUAGGUAAACUGUUUACACCUUCUUGACACUUUCAAACAUAUAUUGGCGCAAUUUUCUUAUGCAUCGAAAAGGUUAAUGAGUUAGUUAGUUAUUCCUGCAUUGUCUUCCCAGUCAGAUUAUCAAUUUCAUAAUAUUAGAUUUAAGCAUUCGAGGAUACAUCAUGCAUUUUUACAAUCUUAAUUUUGAAUGAUGUUGCAAGGGAUAAGAGUCUCUACAUCACUUUCCAUUUUCCUUUUUUUUUUUUUUUUGGUGGUUAAAUACUUUUGAUUUGAUUCAACCAGCAAAGGCUCGCACCGAUCCUGAGUUAUCAAUUCUUGUAGCUAUGAGCUAUGAGUUAUCUUAUCCCCUCAGGGGGAAAGGCGCAGCUCGGGAGGUAACGUUCCAUUCCUUUCCUCACGUACUGCUCUCUGAGAAGGGAGUGGCUGGCUCUUGAAUCUCAUUCUUCAUCUUCUUUUUGCUAGGAAAUUGGAAAUUUCCGUUUGUGUAAUUUGUUUUCUUUAUGAAUGGAAACUAUCACAUCAAAAAAGAUUACUGGGGUAGCAAAAUAUAUCUGUGCAUCACGAUGAUAUAGUAUAAUAUUUAAGCUGUUACUUCAUGCUCGGGUAAUCUUGGGCUUGACUUCUAGAGUUUGUCUUUUUCCGUCGGCGGAUUCCUUCGAGGUGAUGACAAUUUUAGAAAUAUAAGAUUCAACAACAAGGACUAAUAUAUAUAUAUAUGCAUGCAAAUGAACUUGAACUAUUGCCCCGUUAUCUUCUUCUUCUGCUAAUUAUAUUUUUGUGUUUGGAUUGCAAAUUUAUCUCAAAUAAUAUUUCGCUCGCAUCAUAAACACAUUUUUCAAUCUACCUUUUUAUAUUUUCAACUACUUUUUAUUUCGCAUACAUCAUAUCACAAAAAGUGCUGCAGUAAUUAUUCCAAAUAAUAUUUUAAAUAAUACUCUAUCCAAACAUUACUUUAUCUUCUGGGGGCUUGUGUGAUAACUACUGUGGCUUUUAUGGCUUUCUCUUAUCUCUGGGAUUACCGAGUAAUUCUACUUUGAACCCAAAAUUGUUCCGCUUUGGACUUUACGUGGAAAGUUUGAUCCGUCAAUUUUAUACUAGCAAUUGUUAAUUUCAUCUUUUGUUUGCUUUGAUUUGGAUCAAAAGCUGCAAAAGAUUUUUAAAAACUAGCAAUACUAUAGCUCAAUCCAAUAAAUAUUUUGCGAAUUCUGUGGAACAAUUUUUAACGUUAAAAUUAAAAAUUAUUUCGAUGAUUUUACACAAGGAACAGACAGGGCACUACAUGGCAAUCAAUAACGAAGUUAGGAAGCCAAGUAUAUCUUGGAGAGACAAGUUUCCAAACAACUUAAAUUUGAAGAUGCUAUUAUUGACAGCCAAAAUGGUUUAAGUAGUUGAGGUGCAAAAUUAGAUGAGCCCUUGCUACCUUAUCCAAUUUUAAUUUUAAUAUUUGAUUUUUGAUGAUUUUGUACAAAAACAGAUAGUACACCGGAAGACAAUUUGAGAAUUAAUUAGCCAUUUUCUGACUGCAAGAAUCUAUGGAUAGAAAUUUUCAUAUAUAUAUAUAUAUAUAUAUAUAUAUAUAUUCAGUCAUCACAUGUUGGCUUUCUCUUGACAAGACUGUUUUCUUUUAGUACAAUGCAGGAGCGGUCGAAAUUCUCUGCAGCUUCCUUUUCAAGGGGAUACUUCAAUUGGACUCCAACUGGAGGCUUUGGCCUGAAAAUAUUCUUAGGAAAAAGUUGAAUCCUCUUCUCCAACUGAAAAGAGAAUAUCCAUUAUAAACGACUUGGACCAAAUUCUGAUGUGUAUAUUAGUAUUUGUGUUAGUGAUUUAAAGAAAGGGAUAAUUUCGAAAACCUCCCCUGUGAUUUCUAAUAAUUGCAGAGACUUCCCCUCAAAUUUAUUAAAUUACACCUAUCUCCCUUGCUUUUACCGUUUAUACAACAAUAUAGGCCUAAAAGACUAUUUUUUUUCAAAAAGCCUAAACUAUCCUUUUUUACAAAAAUAAAAUAAAAAUUAUUUUGCCAAUUGCUUUCUUCCAUUUGUCAACCAAACCCACGAUACUAACAAACAGGUCUAACAAAUACUAUAAUUCCAAAUUCUAAACCCAAUCAAUUCCAUCAUGCAUUCAAUUCCGAAGGUUCGUUCCACUUCCUUAUACUAUAUAAGAAUGAGUUUGGGUCAAAGAAUGACUUUGAAUUUCAACCGCAAGAGUAGGGGUAUUUUGAGAUUGUGAGGUUGUUUUGAGUGUAGUUAUAAUAUUGGGUACUACUUUAGAUAGCAUGUGCAUUAUUGUAUUUACUGAAAUGUUCUUGUAUUGUAAAAGAUGCAGUGAUGAUUUGUUCAAAUAUUUGAAUAGUUUGGAAAUGUGAGAUUAUUUGAUCAUCUUUUUUAUAAUGGAUACAACCCAUAAUAGCUUCUUUGUUGGUGUAAUUACUUAAAUGUCCUUGUAGAGACAUUCAUUUUGGUUUGUAUCAAUUAUUAUUAUUACUUUGCUAUUAUAACUUGAAGAACUUCAAACGUCAUUUUCAUCUCAAUUAAAGCAAGGACAAUGUGGUUUAUUAAGGAAUUUAUGAUUGAACAUUUGUUUCAACUUCUAUUCUUCAAAUGUCUGCCCCUUCACAUUCAUCCGUUAUGCUCCUUUCGUCUACCGGUAAAUACUUAUUUUUAUUGCCAUUGUACUCUGGAUUUCAAUAUGGUUCCCUAGUGAAGUUAUUCUUGAUGGUCGAACUUGAGGUGAGGUUUCAUUCCUUUUUUUAAUGCUAUGAUUUGCUUUGUAAAAUCGCAAUUUCUAUUGUUAGCUAAAUGCUUUCAUUCCAAAAUUGGAUACUCUGUUAGCACAAUUUAAUGUUGAUAUUAUUAUUUCCCCACAAAAUUGAUUGUUCUAUAUAAUUUAAAUGGUGUGGUUUUGUUGGAAUAGGUUUCGAUCAACAAGAAUGUUGGCUACUAUGAUAAAAAAGCCUUCACCAUAGUUGGCUACUUUCAUCAACAAGAAUGUUGUGUAGAUGCAUCUUUAAGUGGAUAAUCAUUUUGUUUAUUGCCAUUAUCUGAAUCGUUUGGGUAUCUGUUUAAAGUUCGUUUAGUCUUGUUAAUAAAAAGCUCAUAUACAAGUAUUUGUUUCAAAAUAUAUGAACUGAGUAAGAUAGCAUCCAUGAUUUCCUUCUCUAUCUCCCAGUAUACAGUAGAUAUUUUAUUACUUCAUUGUGUUAUACAAUGUGCGUGAGUUUUUUAAUAUUCACUUGAACUACCAUAAAAUCUUUUUUAACCACAGGCACCAAACACCCGCGCAAUGCGAGGGCAUUCCCCUCCUAGUUUUAGAAAUAUGCUUAUCAUAUGGUUCCAUGGAAUGGUUAAACUCACAAUCAACUGCCUUAUGGUUAGGCUUGCAUAAUCUUUAAGAUAGGAUGCUAUGGUUUGAUUCCAUAUAAAUGGCUCAACUCCUACUACAUGAGCCAUAUUAUGGCCUUGAAGAAAAUCUUUAGGGGAGAUUUAGACAUGGAUGGGAUUAAUUAAGUUUAAGAGAAGGAAAGAUAUCAUUAUGACUAUAGAGAUUUUCAAGAAAUUCAUUUUGUUAAAAACCAAAAUUCUAUUUGCAACUAAUCACACCCCAAAUUUCAAACCCAAUGCCCACACCUUCUCAAAAUAAAAUAAUUUAGCCUACCAUUAAAUCUUCAAACAUGUUAACGUCUUAAACACAGAGAAGAAACUUUAUCUCUAUAGCAACCAUAACAAAAAAUUGUCAAGUAUAAAAAGAAAUAUUAAUGUACUUAUUAACAUCUUAAAAAGUUUUUUGGAUGGAUGAUAGACAAAUUAGCAAAUUUACCAAUUUCAAUCCCUCUUCCUCUUUUGGCCAAUGAUUGCAUUAUUAUUUAGUACCUCUUCAUCUCCUUUUAGUUUGACUAUAAAAUCAGAUUUUACUUCAACCAUUAAAUCUAAUCACUUAACUAGAGAGGUCAGUAUAAUUUAUAAAACUUAAAAGAAGCGGAGUGAAAUUGUCAUAAAACUCAGGUGAGGUUUGUGAAAUUAUCCCUUAAAGAAAACAAGGCAACCAGACUUUUGGAUAAGAACUUAUGUUGGAAGAUAAUCAUGAAUGAAAGCUAGAGUUUUUCUAUCAUUCAGUAAAUGCGGCAGAUUUCAGACCGAGAGAAAAGAAAACCACCUAUUUUCCAAAUUAGGUCAGGAUUCAAGAGCAUUAAACUAUAUAUAUAUGGUAGAUAAAUUAAUGAUAUGAAUGUUUUUUUUUUUUUUUCAUUUGCAGCUGGCGUGUGCAUGGUGACGUUGGCCUUACAAUAAAAAUUCUUUUCAACCUUGUAUUAAGCAAGUAAUAUAAUGUGCCUAUCCAAAUAUUUGGCCCUCAGUCGAGAUUAAUUUUCUAAUGAGAUUGUCAUUUUUUUUGGAACAUUAUGACGCUGAACUUUGUCAUUUUCCGUCGGCGGAUUCCGCACGAGGUCACCUCCGCGUCGAAUAAGGAAUAAAAGCUUAAAAACUUUAGCACAAAAACCAUAGAAAAUCGACGUAUCGGACCCAGUACCUCUUCUUUAUUACCAUGAAUGCUUGGUCCGAGUCAUGACCUGGUGGUAUUGGCAGUAUCCUUUUGGGCGCCCCUAAACCAAAUUAUUGUAAAGCAAAUCCCAGAGUCGGGGCCAGGGUCAAGGCUCAAAAUUCACAGCUCCUGCAACGGGCAACGGUGCAGACCAGCUUCGGUUCUUCCCCUAUCACACGACAAUCAAGGCAAAGGUAUGCAAAGUACACAGAUUAAUUUGUGAUAAUGACCUAUUGAUUUUUAUUGCACCAAUGAUCAAUAUCACAAUUGUAAGGAGUGGCAAAAUGAUCAUGACAAUCAAGAGGAGCAAGAUGCGAUGCUUGCAAUAUGAGACAACAUUUCAUAUUCGAUCUUGAUGGCUUGCAUAUGCACAUAUCAUUUUUCUCCUGUCCUAAUUUUGCAUGUAUUGUUGUUUAGCUUCAAUUUGGGAUAUGCCUUAUCUACAUUGUUCUUUUUUUUACCAAAUUGCGCAAGUUAUAUCUCUCGCGAAGACAUGACAUAAACAUUAUGGUGGAGAAGUUCAACUUGACAGUUUGAAUAUUAAAGAUUGAAUCUUAUAGAAUUCAAAAUCUGGAUGAUCAAAUUUAUUAAAGUUGAAACGUCAGAAACGCCAAUAUAUAUAUAGAACAUGUCAAACAAAACAUCAGCCUGUAACUUCCCUAGGUAAAUCUAGAGCUCGGUGUUCUGUAGUGAUUGUGCUAAUUUGAGCUCGUAGAUAUCAAUAUAGUAACUGGAAAAAAUGUAGCUUAGAAGUAGCUAGAAGUAAACGACAGCAUAUGAAACAUAAAGAACUCCAUUAGUUCUCAAUGUUCUGAUGCUUCUUGGCCGUGUAGCCAGCCAUCCAUCUCCAUCUCCAUCUCCCUCUAUCCUAAGCUGGGUAGGGAUUGUUGGGGAGCAAGGAGGCAGUGGUUGGCAGAAUAUAGGAAGGAAACUCUAUAUCUUUUUUUGACUCAUAAUAGAGUAAUUUACUAAUAAUAUGGUGUCAAUUGGGCUUCGCCACCGAGAACCGGACCAGUUCAGCCCAAGUUAACCUUUACAUCUUUGCACCUAAGAUCAGCCCACCAUUCACAAGGCAGUACUCUUUUUUUUUUUCUUUAAUAAAAGCAAAUUUCAUUAACAGAUCCCUGAAAUUCAUCCAGUUUGAUUUGAUUUACAUUACUAUUCUGAUGAUAGGUUAAACAUGCAUUAGACAUUACAGAUUUGUAAUUUAACAGAUGGAUCUGACAAAAUACAAUAGUUCCUUAAUCCUUACUUUGUGAGACUAGUAGGGACAGAAUCCUCCUCCAUCUUUCUUGGCUCUGUACUUAAUUCCCAGCUUGUACCAUUAAACAUGAAGCAUGUUCUUGGCUAAAAAAUACACCGCGUUUUAGGUUGAAUUCAAGCUUGCACAAGUUCAUAUAAGGAGCUCAAACUUAUUCUCUCCUAAAACCACUAAAUCACCAAGGAAGCUCUCACAAAGCAACAAGGUAAAGAAAUGUUUAAACGAAUUUAUGCUUUAAAGAAAUGUUUGGAACUUUUAAACGAAUUUAUGCUUUAAAGAAAUGUUUACAAACGUACGUAGCUUCUUAGGAUUGCGUAGAAAGCCACAAAGCCGUUGUAGUCUGCGGUAUAAAUUUUAGUUUGAGAUGAAGUUGGUUGGGAGCACCGGACGUGAUGCAUUGCAAAAUAGAAGACUCACAAGAGGUGUCAUUUUCAAUCUAAAACAAGUACACAACAUUAAUUCACUGGAUGCCCCCAUUUGUCAGAACACAUACCACCACUUUUGCUUCUUGUCUUCUCUGCCCAAAAUUCCUCAGGCUAUUACUUCCAAAAGUUAACAGGUGCAAAUGUCAAUGGUGAUGAAUUAUUGAAGCAACAUAGAUAGAGAGAUUGAAUUCAUUCUUACAUGGAUGAUGAGCGAGAGAUGUACACUACUUGAAAUUACGUGUUAAAAUAUUUUGAGUUUUUAUCGCAAAACUAAUUAAUUGUGAGUGGAGCGCUUCAUGAUUUUUAUUAAUUGAUUCAGUUAGUCUUGACUAACAGAUAUGGUAUUAGUUCUUUUUUUUAAAAAAAAAAAAAAUUUAUUUUGACGCUGCGAAUUAAUGUAAGAGAAGAAAAGAAAGUAAUUUAUAAAGAGCAGUAGGAUGGAAUUACAUUUUAUAGCAACAACUAUACGCAAACACGGGAUUUGUGGACAUAAUCACAUACAAUUAGGCAAACCAAAAUAAGCAAACUCCCUAAGUUGUUGUUGUACUUUCAGAUGAUGAACUUAAUAGCUCCUCCAGCAGAUCAGCUCCUAAGUCUUCAAGCUCCAGAACAAUUUUUUUUGGGUUUAUUUCUUUCUUUUGAUUUCUUCUGCGUUUUGACAGACUUC